UACGUAGGGGGCUAGCGUUGUCCGGAAUCAUUGGGCGUAAAGCGCGUGUAGGCGGCCCGGUAAGUCCGCUGUGAAAGUCGGGGGCUCAACCCUCGGAUGCCGGUGGAUACUGUCGGGCUCGAGUACGGAAGAGGCGAGUGGAAUUCCUGGUGUAGCGGUGAAAUGCGCAGAUAUCGGGAGGAACACCAGUGGCGAAGGCGACUACCUGGCCCAUUCUUGACGCUGAGGCGCGAAAGCUAGGGGAGUGAACGGG
rnacentral:rRNA from 1 species